rnacentral:rRNA from 1 species
UACGGAGGAUGCAAGCGUUAUCCGGAAUGAUUGGGCGUAAAGCGUCCGCAGGUGGCUGUGUAAGUCUGCUGUUAAAGAGUGAGGCUCAACCUCAUAAAGGCAGUGGAAACUACAUGGCUAGAGUGCGUUCGGGGCAGAGGGAAUUCCUGGUGUAGCGGUGAAAUGCGCAGAUAUCUGGAGGAACACCGGUGGCGAAGGCGGCAUCCUGGACCGACACUGACACUGAGGAGCGAAAGCCAGGGGAGCAAACAGG